AUUGAACGCUGGCGGCAUGCCUUACACAUGCAAGUCGAACGGCAGCGGGGACUUCGGUCCGCCGGCGAGUGGCGAACGGGUGAGUAAUGUAUCGGAACGUACCAUUGAGUGGGGGAUAACGUAGCGAAAGUUACGCUAAUACCGCAUAUUCUCUACGGAGGAAAGCAGGGGACCGCAAGGCCUUGCGCUCUUUGAGCGGCCGAUAUCAGAUUAGCUAGUUGGUGAGGUAAAAGCUCACCAAGGCGACGAUCUGUAGAGGGUGUGAGAGGAUGAUCCGCCACACUGGAACCGAAGCACGGUACAGCCUCCUACGGGAGGCAGCAGUGGGGAAUUUUGGAGAAGGGGGGCAACCCUGAUCCAGCCAUGCCGCGUGAGUGAAGAAGGCCUUCGGGUUGUAAAGCUCUUUCGGCCGGGAAAAAAUCGCAUGGGUUAAUACCCUGUGUGGAUGAUGGUACCGGAAUAAGAAGCACCGGCUAACUACGUGCCAGCCGCCGCCGUAA
rnacentral:rRNA from 1 species